rnacentral:rRNA from 1 species
GAUGAACGCUGGCGGCGUGCCUAAUACAUGCAAGUCGAGCGAACGGACGAGAAGCUUGCUUCUCUGAUGUUAGCGGCGGACGGGUGAGUAACACGUGGAUAACCUACCUAUAAGACUGGGAUAACUUCGGGAAACCGUAGCUAAUACCGGAUAAUAUUUUGAACCGCAUGGUUCAAAAGUGAAAGACGGUCUUGCUGUCACUUAUAGAUUGAUCCGCGCUGCAUUAGCUAGUUGGUAAGGUAACGGCUUACCAAGGCAACGAUGCAUAGCCGACCUGAGAGGGUGAUCGGCCACACUGGAACUGAGACACGGUCCAGACUCCUACGGGAGGCAGCAGUAGGGAAUCUUCCGCAAUGGGCGAAAGCCUGACGGAGCAACGACGCGUGAGUGAUGAAGGUCUUCGGAUCGUAAAACUCUGUUAUUAGGGAAGAACAUAUGUGUAAGUAACUGUGCACAUCUUGACGGUACCUAAUCAGAAAGCCACGGCUAACUACGUG